AUUGAACGCUGGCGGCAGGCCUAACACAUGCAAGUCGAGCGGAUGAGAGGAGCUUGCUUCUCGAUUCAGCGGCGGACGGGUGAGUAAUGCCUAGGAAUCUGCUUGAUAGUGGGGGAAAACGUUUCGAAAGGAACGCUAAUACCGCAUACGUCCUACGGGAGAAAGCAGGGAACCUUCGGGCCUUGCGCUAUCAGACGAGCCUGGGUCGGAUUAGGUAGUUGGUGAGGUAAUGGCUCACCAAGGCGACAAUCCGUAACUGGUCUGAGAGGAUGAUCAGUCACACUGGAACUAGGACACGGUACAGACUCAUACGGGAGGCAGCAGUGGGGAAUAUUGGACAAUGGGCGAAAGCCUGAUCCAGCCAUGCCGCGUGUGUGAAGAAGGUCUUCGGAUUGUAAAGCACUUUAAGUUGGGAGGAAGGGUUGUAGAUUAAUACUCUGCAAUUUUGACGUUACCGACAGAAUAAGCACCGGCUAACUCUGUGCCAGCAGCCGCAGUAACAC
rnacentral:rRNA from 1 species